CCUACGGGAGGCAGCAGUGAGGAAUAUUGGUCAAUGGACGAGAGUCUGAACCAGCCAAGUAGCGUGAAGGAUGACUGCCCUAUGGGUUGUAAACUUCUUUUAUAUGGGAAUAAAAUGUUCCACGUGUGGGAUUUUGUAUGUACCAUAUGAAUAAGGAUCGGCUAACUCCGUGCCAGCAGCCGCGGUAAUACGGAGGAUCCGAGCGUUAUCCGGAUUUAUUGGGUUUAAAGGGAGCGUAGGUGGAUUGUUAAGUCAGUUGUGAAAGGUUGCGGCUCAACCGUAAAAUUGCAGUUGAAACUGGCAGUCUUGAGUACGGGAGAGGUAGGCGGAAUGCGUGGUGUAGCGGUGAAAUGCUUAGAUAUCACGAAGAACUCCGAUUGCGAAGGCAGCUCACUGGACUGCAACUGACACUGAGGCUCGAAAGUGUGGGUAUCAAACAGGAUUAGAUACCCUUGUAGUC
rnacentral:rRNA from 1 species